rnacentral:tRNA from 1 species
GUUUUAAUAAUUUAAAUAAAAUAUUGGUCUUGUAAACCAAAAAUAAAUCAUUUUUUAAAACU